GACGAACGCUGGCGGCGUGCUUAACACAUGCAAGUCGAACGAAGUGGCGAACGGGUGAGUAACGCUUAAUCAACCUGCCCUUCAGAGGGGGACAACAGUUGGAAACGACUGCUAAUACCGCAUACUGAAGGAGGGGCUUGCGUCUGAUUAGCUAGUUGGCGGGGUAACGGCCCACCACGGCGAUGAUCAGUAGACGGUCUGGGAGGAAGAACGGCCAAAAUUGGACUGAGACACGGCCCAGACUCCUACGGGAGGCAGCAGUGGGGAAUCUUCCGCAAUGGACGAAAGUCUGACGGAGCAACGCCGCGUGAGUGAUGACGGCCUGCGGGUUGUAAAGCUCUGUUAAUCGGGACGCGGUACCGGAAUAGAAAGCCACGGCUAACUACGUGCCGGCAGCCGCGGUAAUUC
rnacentral:rRNA from 1 species